UACGUAGGGUGCAAGCGUUAAUCGGAAUUACUGGGCGUAAAGCGUGCGCAGGCGGUUCGUUGUGUCGGUGGUGAAAGCCCCGGGCUUAACCUGGGAAUGGCCAUGGAAACUGGCGAACUGGAGUGUGGCAGAGGGGGGUGGAAUUCCGGGUGGAGUGGUGAAAUGCGUAGAGAUCCGGAGGAACACCAAAGGCGAAGGCAGUGUCCUGGGGAGUACCUGACGCUCAGGUGCGAAAGCCAGGGGAGCGAACGGG
rnacentral:rRNA from 1 species